UUGUAUUCAGAUUUGAAAGGAAAUGAAAGCAAGAGCCUUCAAGGAUUCCAAGUAAUCACAUAUAACUCAAUUCAAAUAAGAAGGUUAGAUGAAUUCAAUAUCCAAAGGAAUGAAACUGGAAUAGGCACAUAUCGAAAACAAAUGCGGAACAAUGGGAUAUACAUGUGCCUAUAUGAGUCAAUACGAUAUAGCAUAAACGAUAC
rnacentral:lncRNA from 1 species